rnacentral:rRNA from 1 species
AGCAGCCGCGGUAAUUCCAGCUCCAAUAGCGUAUAUUAAAGUUGCUGCAGUUAAAAAGCUCGUAGUUGGAUUUCUGGCUUGAAACAUUUUGCCGGCCACGGUUUCGUGUGUUAGUGCUUGAUGUUCUGGCCAUCCUUCCAAUUGCUAUUUACCUUUCUUCAUUGAUUGGUAAGUGGUAUUGGAUCUUUUACUUUGAAAAAAU